UCUUUUUUCAUUGAGGAAGGAGAAGUCGUAACAAGGCUUUMGCGYAGRCUGAWCMUAGCGGAAGGAGGUYAUUGUYUGRARSCUGSCKAGCAGAGCAACCMGSGAACWAKUGAWAACAUACCCGGGUAGAACGAGGAGGGGCGCACGCCCCCGAUCGCCUGCCCGUCGGACCACGGCCCCUCUACAAACGCAAUGAUUUGCGGGCGGAGGGUGGGUUGCUGUGUCCGGGCAAAACCAAAAACCGGCGCGACAGGCGCCAAGGAAAUCUUARCGGAAAAAGAGGGUUGCCCCGUUUGCGGAGGCAGCCUUUGGAAUCCGAUACUCGAACGACUCUCGGCAACGGAUAUCUCGGCUCUUGCAUCGAUGAARAACGUAGCGAAAUGCGAUACUUGGUGUGAAUUGCAGAAUCCCGUGAACCAUCGAGUCUUUGAACGCAAGUUGCGCCCGAGGCCAUUAGGUCGAGGGCACGUCUGCCUGGGCGUCACACACAGCGUCGCACCCCUCCAACAAGGUUUGUUGGGGAGCGGAUAUUGGCCCCCCGGGCCCUUGCGGGCACGGUCGGCACAAAUGUUGGUCCCCGACAACGAGCGUCGCGGUCAGUGGUGGUUGUAUUUCUCAUCCUCCAAAGACAUCAAGACGCGUCGUCCUCGUUGCUCGUUGGGACGCAUCCACCCUAUGGAGCCGUUUUGUGCGGCAUUCACCCUGCGACCCCAGGUCAGGCGGGAUCACCCGCUGAGUUUAAGCAUAUCAUAACCGGGGGGGGC
rnacentral:rRNA from 1 species